rnacentral:rRNA from 1 species
UGAAGUAAGAAUCGUAACAAGGUCUCCGUUGGUGAACCAGCGGAGGGAUCAUUA